CGAUUGAAGAAUUGGAUCGUGCUACGAUGUGGAUAAAGGCCCGGCAAGACAAGAGUGGCAACUUCAAAGGGCCAGGCCGGCCAGCAGUGAAGAAGAAGGUCGAAAAAAUUGAAAAUUUGAAGAGGAAAGUGUCUAAAGGAGAAAUCAACCCUGAAGGAACAAAUGAUGUUCUGACUUUGGCGUUGGGAAAUCCUGAGUAUCCUGGUAGGGUACGCGGAGUUGGUGGCUUCAUCAAGCCUUCGGCAUAUUUUCAUCUACCUAAACGCCAAACACUAAAUAUAGAAGAUAGUGUCAGGGUAAGUGUUAAGAAGAUACUAGCAGAAGAGAAAGAAAAUAUCAUUGCUCAGGAAAGAGCCAAAUGGGAGUUGGAGAUGGAGCAACAAAUUUUUAGGGAAAGAGCCGCUUGGGAGGAAAGAUUUCAGAAGUUAGAAGCGAUGGUUAAUGGGAAAGAGAUGCCAGCUAACUCACCCAAACCUGUGACACCGCUGAAUGAUUUAGGCUCUGGCCAGGGCAGCUGUUCAAGGCAACUUGACAAGGCUGGUUUGAAAGCUAUUGAAAUUGAAGCCGCCAAAACUGCCAAGAAGAAGUUAGAUUUAGGGGAGGACCAACAGAAAGUAGUUGAAGAGAAUGAAGUCUUUGUGGAUGAGGAGCUGAACACAAACUAACCUCGAUUAUUGAGGAGGAGGUUAGGAAUUGAUUUAACUCCAAAAAAAAAUGCAGUUGUAGAGCAUGUGCAAAUGCCGGUUCAGUCUACCAAAAUUGUCCAGUAAGGGUAUAAACUUGCGAUAGAUUCAUUGGACAACAUAGUGGCUGAAGGAACAAUCAUUCAAGUGGAUGUUGAGUCCAGCAAGCAAACUAUCUAUGGUGUUCCAUUGGCUGAGGAAAAUGUCCGAGAGUCGAUUACCAAAUCUAUUGUUGCUAAUGCUUCGCUACCAAUUCCUAUUAAGGAUGAGAUUCUGUUUGUCCAUGAUGCAAUUGGUACAUGCGUUGCUUGGCCUAGAGACUGGGUUAUACCCACUGUAGCUGAUGCAAAGCAACAAGAGCAUAAAAUUGUGAGGAGGAAAAAGAAGGAUACAUAUGAUGAUUUUUUUUAUCAUGAUGAUUUGGACAAGCUGCCACCCAAUUUGCCUCCACCACUUAAGACGUUGGCCACAUGGGCUAAUGAUAACUUGAAGGAUGGGAUCACCAUCCACACAACCGUAGGUGAGGAAUUAUUUGGAUAUCCAAAAAAGGUCGCCAUCUUCAGAAGGGAUGUGUAUGCCAUGACCAACAUGAAAGAGCUUUCUGGCAGCUGCAUUGUGAUGUAUAUGAGGUCUAUAAUGCAUUUUAAAUGAAGCUGUUAAUUCAGUGUUAUUCAAUGAUAUUUUGAGACUUGUGGUUUUACAUCUUCCUUUAUCAAGUGUUGAAGAAAUCGAAGAUGCUUGACAUGAUUGGCUUCGUAGAUCCUGCUAAUACUAGUGUCAUUGGCUAUGGAAAUCUGACUGAACGGGCUCGUUCUUUGUCAGUUUCUUAUGAAAGAGGGAAGCCUGGUCAGAUUCUUUUGGUCCCCUUUAAUUCAGGCUGUCAUUGGAUGUUGACGGUGGCGAACCCCACUGAAGAAGUUGUGUAUUUCAUGGAUCCGUUAAAGAGGCGACUCAUCACCAGUGAAUGGAGAACUAUUGUGGACAACUCCAUCAAAAUAUUCAAUGAACAAAAACAUAGGAAAGGCCGAAAGACAGGUCAAUGGAAAAACUGUGCAGGCAUUCCGGAGCAGAUGGGUGAUAAGACUUGUGAAUAUUGGAUUAUGCAUUACAUGAGGGAUAUAGUGGAGGACAAAAAUCAAGAGUAGAGUACUAAGUGGGAAAGAAAAGAAAAUCACUAUUACACAAUGGAGAAUGUUGAUGUUGUCCGGGCAGAGUGGGCAAAGUAUGUUAUGAAGUUCAAAGAUAACUAGUGCAUGUGUAGGUUAACUAGUAGUUGGAGAUAUGUAGCAUCAACUUUUGGACAUGCAUAGUUGAUACACACACACACACACACACACACACAUAGAGGCCGGAUUUUGAUUGCAGUACUACUAGCUAUUUUGCUAUGUUGUUUAGUUGGUUGCCCACAUUGUGUAGUGCUUCUGGUUUAUUAGCAAGCAGUACUGCACGUUGCUGGCUGCCCAUAUUAGUAGAUAUGGGCUAUUUAGAACUGAUGCUGAUGAUUAGGUUUGUGUACAUGAGACAAA